GUCUACGGCCAUGCCACCCUGAGUACACCCAAUCCCGUCUGAUCUCAGAAGUUAAGCAGAGUUGGGCGUGGUUAGUACUUGGAUGAGAGACCACCUAGGAAGAUCAGGUGCCGUAGGCA
rnacentral:rRNA from 1 species